GUUAAAUCAAGUGAAGAAAGGGCUGUAGAAAAAAAGAAAAUCCAUGGCGUAGCAUCGAUCAUUUUGAUAAACAUUCGCAAAUCCGCUUAAAAUUCACAAAUCCAAACCAGCACUUGAGGCGUAGCGGGGAUCUGCGCCCGUCAGACACACCUGCUGGAGGUAGGAGGGUGGCUGGCAGCAAGGAGGCCGCGCAGACUCCGCGAAGAUUGUGGAGGAAGUUAGGCUUUUGCGGUCUUUUUUAAAGGCAUCUCAACCUCCAAUAGUGACAGCACUUUGACCAAAAAAAUGGGGAUCCAGCAGAGGGCAUCAGAGAACACUAUGAAGAAAAAUCUGUUGGCCACAGCCACGUCUCUGUGCAGUCUGCUCCUCAAGUCGGUGGCAUUGAUGCCGGUUUUAUAGAUGGAGCAGAACAUGCUGGAGUAUGAGAAGGCGAUCACCAGGAAUGCCACCAGGUUCAGACCUAAACACAAAUGCAAGUUUGUACUUCAUAUACAGGAAGAGAUAGACUCCCUGCAAAAGCACACAAGAUCAAAUGAAGGGGAUGUGAGAUUAUUGUUUCAGUAAGGAAGGAAAUACGAACAUGUUUGCACAUAUAAAAACAAACCAGGUUUACAUUUGCACUUAAAUGUAUGCACUAGUACACAGAGAAGCUGAUAAUGAAUCCCCCUCAUGAAUAAAUUCACAGGGCCCAGUGAUGCUGGCGUAUUUUAAGAGAGAAUACCCAGUGAUUUAUUCAUCACAAUUGCCAGAUUUCACAGCCCCUCAGUGAGAACAUGGAGUAAAAACAACCCAGACUAAUCAUGUGUUGUUGAUGGAGCCAUGGUGUUUGCUGUGUAAUCUAACAUGCAAUGUUUUGUAAACUGAUUUGGAUGAGUAACAAUGUCACCUAAAGUUAUAUCCGAUGCUGUUGAAAGACUUAAAAAAGCUAAUCUUCAGCUGUAAACCCACUACAUAACAACACUAUAAUAACAUAUACAUGUCUCCAUGAUACGCAACAGUAAUUGAUCAGAUGUCAAGUUCAGUCUUUAAUCCCAGUGUGUAGUGCAUUUGAUCCCUACAGUGAUUUAUCCUUGGGGAAUGAACAUUUUAUUAAAUUUGACUGCAGAACCCUCCUAAAAUUAGACUACAGAUGUAAUACCUUCAAGUGCUCAACAUAAAAACCUGCUACCAAUCAGCUAUCUCUGUAUAAUGAGCUUCAGUGAAAAACUGAACGAUUUUCAGCUUCAAUUUACCCAGGAAAAUCCCUGUUGAAUAUCCUUUGGCAGUAGGUUUUUCUUGCCUGUCAGAGUGCAGGGGAAAGCAGACCCCAUUACGUCCGUAGUAAUUUCCAAACACGUCCUCAUUCAUUAGGGGCACAGCAGCAAUCAUAAACCCCAGGAGCCAGAUA